UUUUAUAAGCCUUUUGACUUCGUUAGUUACUGCUGCCUGCCGAUCUUUUCAGUCCCAUUUUUUCUCAUUUGUUUCAUUAGGUCUCUAAUAAUUAGAUUGUAAGGUUUCGUCUAAAUUAACUUCGUGGAAAAUAACAUCAACAAAGAUUAUCGGCAUGUUUUGAACAAUCUAAGCGAAUGUUUCUUAUUUUUCAAAGAAGGAAAACCAAUUCCUUUAAUAUAAGCUCAUUCAACAUUACUCUUAUGUUCGCCUAAUUUUUGGGUUAGGCAUUAUCUAUUUUAAGAUCAUUCCCAACCGA
rnacentral:lncRNA from 1 species